ACAAUAAGGGCUGUUAGAGCUUAUUUAUGCUGGGAAUUGGCCCAGUGUUUCUACAAGACACCGGAAUGUCUAACAAUAAGUGACUAGUUGAUUACU
rnacentral:ncRNA from 2 species